rnacentral:rRNA from 1 species
AAAUAGAACUUUGCAGAGAGAGUUAAGAGGGCGUGAACCGUUAAUUGGCAAACGAAUCGGAGCCACGAAGUCGUUUCGCUGAUAAGUUGAGCCGAGUUCAGUUGGGCAAUUCUAAAAAAAUUGUUUGGCGUAUUCUCGUAGUUUAACCUAAAAUUGUAAACGUACACUGCAACCAGUUAGACAAUUGGAAAUGGGCAUAGUUGCUAGAGGGGCUUGCUCCUUUUGUAACGCAAAUGUUGUCGGCUUGAGUUAGUAGUAGCAGAGAGUUGGCUUGCUGGCUUUUUGUUGCUGAAUUUAAGUUUGGUGAACUAUUUCCAAAUACUGACUGGCAAAAUAAAAAUCGAUUCUAUGAAUCGUUGUCAGAUAAAGCAGCUAGCUGCAUUAGUGUCUACAUGUUUGACCAUUUAGUUUUAAGCUCAGCGUUUUUAAAUUCAAACUUGCUUGCUACCAGUGGGGCAACUCCUGGUGCUUGUAUUGCUUUGUCUAAUUGGGCGUUGACUUGGCUAGGUGUCGUUUGAGCAUGCUACGAUUGGAUGUUAAUGUAAGUAAGUUCGCAAUUGAAUUGGCAGUGAGUAGGUCGGCUUUCCGAACGACCCGUCUUGAAACACGGACCAAGGAGUCUAAUUAGGCAUCAGUCGAUCGGUCUUGAUAGGCCAGAUAGAAGAGUUUUCGGACUUUUCAAGUGAAGGCGUAGAGAAAUCAAAUCAUGUGAUCAUUGUGGCUACAACAGCCUAUUUGCGCAACAUGUGCCUGUUCGUAUAGCAAUGCUAGCAAUAGCUUGCUGGGCGGAGCAAAGAGAUGCCUGAUUGGUACCCGAAAGAUGGUGAACUAUGCUUGGGCAAAUUGAAGCCAGAGGAAACUCUGGUGGAGGAUUGUAGCGAUUCUGACGUGCAAAUCGAUCGUCAGACCUGAGUAUAGGGGCGAAAGACUAAUCGAACCAUC